CAUCUAUAAGUAAGGAAACACAUCAUGAAUAAUUCUUUAACUUUUUAUUGUCCAUUGAACUGGUCAGUGCUGAGAUAAGCAUCAAAUUAAUAUUAAAUAUUCAAGUCGAACAACUGUUAUUAUUUUCGGAAUAUUUGUAUUUCAUUUCAAUUGCUGCAUUAGCAAUUUGGUAAAGCUUUUGGAGUCUGGAGUUGCGUUUUCAUAUAUAGGAUUUCUAAUAAAGCUACAUUUUUCUACUGUUGCAGACUAUUAACUUUAAGAAUUGUCUGUGCCAAGCCCGUGUUUAACAUCAAUAAGUAAAAAUGGAUUGUCUAUUUGUAACAAUACAAUACAAUACAAAUUUUAUUUCAAGUCGGUUUGUACAUAACAAGUAUAACAUUAGCCAUGUAUCACUAUUGACCGACAUAAUAUAACAACAAACAUAUAACAAAUAUACAAUUGAACAUUACAUGAAAUUUACAUUAUAUAAACAAACAGUAUCGUCCUUGAGUUGAGAUCAAUUAUAAUAAAUAAAUUAAUUAAUUAACCUGAAUACAAUAAACGUGAUUAUUUUAACAUGUUAAAAACGAAAGAACUAUGGCAUGUGAUAUACAAUUAUAAUAUUUAGACAGUUAAGAUCAUAGCAUUAUUAAAAAUAAAUUAAAGAUAACUUAUAAGAAUAAAAAUUGUGCUGCAGUUGCUGAUCUUGACCUUGGUUUAUGAGCUGCUAUAAAAAAAAUAAAAAAUAAGGUAAAAGUCUGACAAUGAAUAUGGACACUAAAGUGUGACAGAUAAAAAAAGAAAAACCGUAGACUUAAGAUUGUCUGUUUGUAACUGUAAGUACAAUAAUAUUAUAUCAAAUCUAUCUUACAGUUAAAGUAUGUACCUAAUAUUGUCCAGGUUGUUGUUGACAGACUCCACAAAGUUAUGCACAGUUCUGGACACGCUCGAGCGACUGAUGCCAUGGGUGUCGGCUAGUUCCGAAUAGAAUGCCCCUUUCGCAAGAAAUCUUAGGCUGACGAGGA